GUAGUACUCCCUCCGUCCGGAAAUACUUGUCAUCAGAAUGAAUAAAAGGGGAUGUAUCUAGAUGUAUAUUAGUUCUAGAUACAUCUUUUUUAUCCAUUUUGAUGACAAGUAUUUUCGGACAGAGGGAGUACUUG
rnacentral:pre_miRNA from 1 species